CGCUAGCUACAGGCUUAACACAUGCAAGUCGAGGGGCAGCAUCAUCAAAGCUUGCUUUGAUGGAUGGCGACCGGCGCACGGGUGAGUAACACGUAUCCAACCUGCCGACAACACUGGGAUAGCCUUUCGAAAGAAAGAUUAAUACCGGAUGGCAUAAUUAUUCCGCAUGGGAUAAUUAUUAAAGAAUUUCGGUUGUCGAUGGGGAUGCGUUCCAUUAGGCAGUUGGCGGGGUAACGGCCCACCAAACCAACGAUGGAUAGGGGUUCUGAGAGGAAGGUCCCCCACAUUGGAACUGAGACACGGUCCAAACUCCUACGGGAGGCAGCAGUGAGGAAUAUUGGUCAAUGGACGAGAGUCUGAACCAGCCAAGUAGCGUGAAGGAUGACUGCCCUAUGGGUUGUAAACUUCUUUUAUACGGGAAUAAAGUUAGCCACGUGUGGCUUUUUGUAUGUACCGUAUGAAUAAGGAUCGGCUAACUCCGUGCCAGCAGCCGCGGUAAUACGGAGGAUCCGAGCGUUAUCCGGAUUUAUUGGGUUUAAAGGGAGCGUAGGCGGGUUGUUAAGUCAGUUGUGAAAGUUUGCGGCUCAACCGUAAAAUUGCAGUUGAUACUGGAUUUCUUGAGUGCGGUAUAGGUAGGCGGAAUUCGUGGUGUAGCGGUGAAAUGCUUAGAUAUCACGAAAAAGUCCGAUUG
rnacentral:rRNA from 1 species